GGAGAGAUGGCCGAGCGGCCGAAGGCGCUGCAUUGGAAAUGCAGUAUACUCCAAAAGGGUAUCGAGGGUUCAAAUCCCUCUCUCUCCGCCA
rnacentral:tRNA from 1 species